CCUACGGGGGGCUGCAGUGGGGAAUAUUGCACAAUGGGCGCAAGCCUGAUGCAGCCAUGCCGCGUGUGUGAAGAAGGCCUUCGGGUUGUAAAGCACUUUCAGCGGGGAGGAAGGCGGUGAGGUUAAUAACCUCAUCGAUUGACGUUACCCGCAGAAGAAGCACCGGCUAACUCCGUGCCAGCAGCCGCGGUAAUACGGAGGGUGCAAGCGUUAAUCGGAAUUACUGGGCGUAAAGCGCACGCAGGCGGUCUGUCAAGUCGGAUGUGAAAUCCCCGGGCUCAACCGGGGAACUGCAUUCGAAAGUGGCAGGCUAGAGUCUUGUGGAGGGGGGUAGAAUUCCAGGUGUAGCGGUGAAAGGCGUGGAGAGCUGGGGAAAUACCGGUGGCGAAGGCGGCCCCCUGGACAAAGACUGACGCUCAGGUGCGAAAGCGUGGGGAGCAACAGGAUUAGAUACCCUGGUAGUC
rnacentral:rRNA from 1 species